rnacentral:rRNA from 1 species
AGAGUUUGAUCAUGGCUCAGAUUGAACGCUGGCGGCAUGCCUUACACAUGCAAGUCGAACGGCAGCACGGGGGCAACCCUGGUGGCGAGUGGCGAACGGGUGAGUAAUACAUCGGAACGUGCCCAGUAGUGGGGGAUAGCUCGGCGAAAGCCGGAUUAAUNNCGCAUACGCCUACGGGUGAAAGCGGGGCCGCAAGCCUCGCGCUGUUGGAGCGGCCGAUGUCAGAUUAGGUUGUUGGUGGGGUAAAGGCUCACCAAGCCGACGAUCUGUAGCUGGUCUGAGAGGACGCCAGCCACACUGGGACUGAGACACGGCCCAGACUCCUACGGGAGGCAGCAGUGGGGAAUUUUGGACAAUGGGGGCAACCCUGAUCCAGCAUGCCGCGUGCGGGAAGAAGGCCUUCGGGUUGUAAACCGCUUUUGUCGGGGAAGAAAUCUUCCGGGUUAAUACCUCGGGAGGAUGACGGUACCCGAAGAAUAAGCACCGGCUAACUACGUGCCAGCAGCCGCGGUAAUACGUAGGGUGCAAGCGUUAAUCGGAAUUACUGGGCGUAAAGCGUGCGCAGGCGGUUAUGCAAGACAGAUGUGAAAUCCCCGGGCUUAACCUGGGAACCGCAUUUGUGACUGCAUAGCUGGAGUACGGCAGAGGGGGAUGGAAUUCCGCGUAGCAGUGAAAUGCGUAGAUAUGCGGAGGAACACCGAUGGCGAAGGCAGNNCCCUGGGCCUGUACUGACGCUCAUGCACGAAAGCGUGGGGAGCAAACAGGAUUAGAUACCCUAGUAGUCC